GGGUGAGUGGCGAAUCAGCAAACGCGGCGGUCCGCAAAACCGCCAUCAGCGGGGGCAGCACCCGCCUCGCCCUCCA
rnacentral:tRNA from 1 species